GGGGGCUAGCGUUAUCCGGAAUUACUGGGCGUAAAGGGUGCGUAGGUGGUUUCUUAAGUCAGAGGUGAAAGGCUACGGCUCAACCGUAGUAAGCCUUUGAAACUGGGAAACUUGAGUGCAGGAGAGGAGAGUGGAAUUCCUAGUGUAGCGGUGAAAUGCGUAGAUAUUAGGAGGAACACCAGUUGCGAAGGCGGCUCUCUGGACUGUAACUGACACUGAGGCAACGAAAGCGGUGGGGAGAC
rnacentral:rRNA from 1 species